UGAGAGCACUAAAUGAAUUGGGAAUGACG
rnacentral:piRNA from 1 species